UCCCGCUGAGGGAAUCUUUUCUCAGAUCUAAAAAGUCUGGGGAAUAAGGGGAGGGCAAGUCUGGUGUCAGCCGCCGCGGUAAUACCAGCUCCUCGAGUGGUCAGGGCGUUUAUUGGGCCUAAAGCAUCCGUAGCCGGCUCAGUAGGUCUCCUGUUAAAUCCAACGGCUUAACCGUUGGUCUGCAGGAGAUACCGCUGGGCUAGGAGGCGGGAGAGGCGGACGGUACUCCGAGGGUAGGGGUAAAAUCCUUUGAUCCCCGGAAGACCACCAGUGGCGAAGGCGGUCCGCCAGAACGCGCUCGACGGUGAGGGAUGAAAGCUGGGGGAGCGAACCGGAUUAGAUACCCCCGUAGUCC
rnacentral:rRNA from 1 species